AUUGAACGCUGGCGGAAUGCUUUACACAUGCAAGUCGAACGGCAGCACGGGUGCUUGCACCUGGUGGCGAGUGGCGAACGGGUGAGUAAUACAUCGGAACGUACCCAGUUAUGGGGGAUAACUAACCGAAAGGUUAGCUAAUACCGCAUACGCCCUGAGGGGGAAAGCGGGGGACCGUAAGGCCUCGCGUAAUUGGAGCGGCCGAUGUCUGAUUAGCUAGUUGGUGAGGUAAAGGCUCACCAAGGCGACGAUCAGUAGCAGGUCUGAGAGGAUGAUCUGCCACACUGGAACUGAGACACGGUCCAGACUCCUACGGGAGGCAGCAGUGGGGAAUUUUGGACAAUGGGCGAAAGCCUGAUCCAGCCAUUCCGCGUGAGUGAAGAAGGCCUUCGGGUUGUAAAGCUCUUUCGGCAGGGAAGAAACGCUCUGGGAUAAUACUCCGGGGUAAUGACGGUACCUGAAGAAGAAGCACCGGCUAACUACGUGCCAGCCGCCGCCGUAA
rnacentral:rRNA from 1 species